rnacentral:rRNA from 1 species
AACGAACGCUGGCGGUAUGCCUAACACAUGCAAGUCGCACGAGAAAGUACUUCGGUAUGAGUAGAGUGGCGCACGGGUGAGUAACACGUAGGUGACCUUCCGAAUAGUGGGGGAUAACUCGGAGAAAUCCGGGCUAAUACCGCAUAUGUACGACAAAUCUGAGAGUAGUCGUAGAAAGAAUGCCUCUACUUGUAAGCAUUCGCUAAUCGAUGGGCCUGCGGAGCAUUAGCUUGUUGGUGGGGUAAUGGCCUACCAAGGCUACGAUGCUUAACGGAUCUGAGAGGAUGAUCCGUCACACUGGAACUGAGACACGGUCCAGACUCCUACGGGAGGCAGCAGUGGGGAAUAUUGCGCAAUGGACGCAAGUCUGACGCAGCAAUACCGCGUGAGUGAGGAAGGCC